rnacentral:rRNA from 1 species
GACGAACGCUGGCGGCACGCCUAACACAUGCAAGUCGAACGGACUUAAAAGAGCUUGCUUUUUUAAGUUAGUGGCGGACGGGUGAGUAACACGUGAGCAACCUGCCUCUGAGAGGGGGAUAGCUUCUGGAAACGGAUGGUAAUACCCCAUAAAAUAUAAAUAUCGCAUGAUAGAUAUAUCAAAGAAAUUCGCUCAGAGAUGGGCUCGCGUCUGAUUAGAUAGUUGGUGAGGUAACGGCUCACCAAGUCGACGAUCAGUAGCCGGACUGAGAGGUUGAACGGCCACAUUGGGACUGAGACACGGCCCAGACUCCUACGGGAGGCAGCAGUGGGGAAUAUUGCACAAUGGAGGGAACUCUGAUGCAGCGAUGCCGCGUGGAGGAAGAAGGUUCUCGGAUUGUAAACUCCUUUUAUCAGGGACGAUAAUGACGGUACCUGAAGAAAAAGCUCCGGCUAACUACGUG